CGAGGGUCUCAGGAAUCGAGAGCAGCUGCCGCUGGUGUCCAAAGACGGGUCCACAGUUCCCCCGUGCGUCCCCAAAGACCUAAGUCUCUGCCUCCCUCACGGAUACAGGUGCAGGGGCCGGCACUAGUUUGCAGUGCAAGCCUGCAGAGUCUGGUGUCUCUGUAUGCAGCCAGGGAAUAUGAACGGAGGAGGCAGGACGGCGUCUCUCCUGCAGGCAAUUUGACUCUACCGUGUGACUUACCGGGGUGUGCAGGCAGAGGGGGGCUGCGUCAGGUCACGAGCCGCCAGUCCGCUGUCCGUGCACAUCGUGUUUCGUGGGAUCUCUCAUGACAUUCCACGCCCAGUGUUGCAAAGAAGACGUUUAGCUUUCUGGAAACUUUAACUGCAGCCCAGGUGUCCCGACUGUCGUCCACACCUUCUGCUGGACUGGGGCUACACUGAGAUGUGGUGCGACAGUGGGGUAGCCAUGACAUUCUCCUGCUCACUCUGUUGACCUGCUGUCUGGCUCCCGUACCCCUGCCUGAGCACUGCUGUCCCCACCCUGCGGCAUUUCGGGAGCUGGGCAUGGUUCAUCUAGGGCACCGGCUGCUGGCAGCUUGCCUAGGGCUGCCCCUGUUUGAGAGGGAGGCUGCGGUUGCCAGAGGAGUUUUCCUGGGAGCAGGUUGUGGCUCUGCUCGCUGGCUGGUGUGUGGAGUGUAAAGGAAUCAGUUGAACCUAAGAAAACACACACUAGAUCAGAAGGGGCUAACUCCACUCUGAGGGAGGGAUAAAAGAGGGCUACUCAGGGCAGAUGGAGCUGACCACAGAGGGGAAGAAGCUCAGGCAGGAGCUACUGAACAGCCCCUGCAGCCGCCCCCGGAGCAGCACCAUUCACAGACUGGGACUGACCGCCAGGCCGCACACAGAGGACACCACUGCACGUACCACGUGUUACGCGCUUCUCACGUACCGUGGCUGGGAAUGGAAAUGUUCAUACCCCCGCGUGCUAAUCCCAGACAAACCCUGUUCAAACAUCACCGGGCUCCUGUAAUAACCCCCAACACCAGGUGUUCCUGUCAGGGCUGCUCCCACUCUGAGUGCAGAAGGUGGAUGCCUACAAGAGACCUUACAGAUACCUCACCUCUAUCAGCUUCUGCUUCACAGGUGCCCUUUUCUUCUUGAACUUGGAACUUCUUCCAGAGGGGUCCCCCAAACACUUUUACCACCAGAGAGCUGCAAGAAUCAAACAAACAAACAGGAGAAAACAAACGAGGGAAAAACAAACAAACAAGAGAGAAUAAACUACGCUCUUUGACAGCUGAGCUCUCAUCUGGGGCAGGCACACACAGACCUCCUCUUGCCUUCCAGGACACCAGAAUCAAAUCAUCACCUUCAAAAAGGUGAUUUUAUUAACCAAACAAAAAAGCAGACGUGGUUGCUAGCUGCUUUAACACAACUGAGAGAAGAAUAAACACAGAGAACUGACAGAAUAAACUGACAGAAUAAACACAGAGAACUGUAUCCCUGGGAUUCAGCUUUAAAUUUAUACUGCAUGGGGGAGGGGGAGGCACAGUUACACAGAGGAGUUUCACCAAACAAUAAAACAAAGAAAAUAACUUGAUUGUGUCUAAAUAGACGUUCCUUAUCUACUUACAUCUCCGUGCUUCAAGAUCCAGUCCAUUUCUAUGCCCGGGUAUUUCUUUUUUAGGCAUGGUAUUCUUGCCCAGUUCAAUGCACCUUUCCUCCCAACCCUUAGGCUCCUGGCUCCUGGCUCCUUGCCAGCAUCUCCUAGCUACCCGAGUUUAACACUUUAGUCACCGAAUGCUCGGAUGUCCAGAAAAGAACAGCACUCCUCCUCCUGUUCCUGACACACC